GGACCCCACUGCUAUCGGGAUGGGACUAAGACAUGCGAGUCGUGCGUCUCUAAGCUAUGGUAGAGACGCGGCGUACGGCUCAGUAACACGUGGCUAACCUACCCUUGGGACGGAGACAACCCCGGGAAACUGGGGCUAAUACCCGAUAGGUGAAGAGGCCUGGAAUGGUUCUUCACCGAAAAGACGUUGAAACCAUGCUUUUCAACGUUGCCUAAGGAUGGGGCCGCGUCCGAUCAGGUUGUUGGUGGGGUAACGGCUCACCAAGCCUAUAACCGGUACGGGCCGUGAGAGCGGGAGCCCGGAGAUGGGCACUGAGACAAGGGCCCAGGCCCUACGGGGCGCAGCAGUCGCGAAAACUCCGCAAUGCGCGAAAGCGUGACGGGGCUACCCCGAGUGUCGUCCGCUGAGGAUGACUUUUCCCCGGUGUAAGGAGCCGGGGGAAUAAGGAGAGGGCAAGUCUGGUGUCAGCCGCCGCGGUAAUACCAGCUCUCCGAGUGGUAGGGACGAUUAUUGGGCUUAAAGCGUCCGUAGCCGGCCCGGCAAGUCUCCUGUUAAAUCCAGCGACCUAAUCGUUGGGCUGCAGGAGAUACUGUUGGGCUAGGGGGCGGGAGAGGCCGACGGUAUUCCCGGGGUAGGGGUGAAAUCCUAUAAUCCCGGGAGGACCACCAGUGGCGAAGGCUGUCGGCUAGAACGCGCUCGACGGUGAGGGACGAAAGCUGGGGGAGCGAACCGGAUUAGAUACCCGGGUAGUCCCAGCUGUAAACGAUGCGGGCUAGGUGUUGGGGUGGCUACGAGCCACUUCAGUGCCGCAGGGAAGCCAUUAAGCCCGCCGCCUGGGGAGUACGGCCGCAAGGCUGAAACUUAAAGGAAUUGGCGGGGGAGCAC
rnacentral:rRNA from 1 species